UUACGACCAUAUCACGUUGAAACAUCGCUUCCCGUACGAUCACCGAAGUUAAGCAAUGUCGAGCCUAGAUGGGUGACCACUUGGGAAUACCAGGUACUGUAA